GCAAGUCGUACGAGAAAGUCCCUGCUUGCAGGGACGAGUAUAGUGGCGCACGGGUGAGUAACACGUGGAUAAUCUACCUUCAAAUCGGGAAUAACUGUUCGAAAGGGCAGCUAAUACCGGAUAAAGUCAUUGCGACUUCGGUUGCAGUAAUGAAAGGGAGCCUCUGAUGUAAGCUUCUGUUUGGAGAUGAGUCCGCGCACCAUUAGCUAGUUGGUGGGGUAAUGGCCUACCAAAGCUACGAUGGUUAGCUGGUCUGAGAGGAUGAUC
rnacentral:rRNA from 1 species